rnacentral:rRNA from 1 species
AGCGAACGCUGGCGGCAGGCCUAACACAUGCAAGUCGAACGGACCCUUCGGGGUUAGUGGCGGACGGGUGAGUAACACGUGGGAACGUGCCUUUAGGUUCGGAAUAGCUCCUGGAAACGGGUGGUAAUGCCGAAUGUGCCCUUAGGGGGAAAGAUUUAUCGCCUUUAGAGCGGCCCGCGUCUGAUUAGCUAGUUGGUGAGGUAAUGGCUCACCAAGGCUACGAUCAGUAGCUGGUCUGAGAGGAUGGCCAGCCACAUUGGGACUGAGACACGGCCCAAACUCCUACGGGAGGCAGCAGUGGGGAAUCUUGCGCAAUGGGCGAAAGCCUGACGCAGCCAUGCCGCGUGAAUGAUGAAGGUCUUAGGAUUGUAAAAUUCUUUCACCGGGGACGAUAAUGACGGUACCCGGAGAAGAAGCCCCGGCUAACUUCGUGCCAGCAGCCGCAGUAAAAC